AUGUAUAUGGUAGCAUGUACACUAAAUUUGGGAAGAUAUGGAGAAGAUUAAUGCAGCCCCUGCACAAGAAUGACAUACAAAUUUGUGAAAAUUUAGCUAUUUUU